rnacentral:rRNA from 1 species
UACGGGGGGAGCAAGCGUUGUUCGGAUUUACUGGGCGUAAAGGGCGCGUAGGCGGCCUGCUAAGUCGAACGUGAAAUCCCCGGGCUCAACCCGGGAACUGCGUCCGAUACUGACAGGCUUGAAUCCGGGAGAGGGAUGUGGAAUUCCAGGUGUAGCGGUGAAAUGCGUAGAUAUCUGGAGGAACAUCGGUGGCGAAGGCGGCAUCCUGGACCGGUAUUGACGCUGAGGCGCGAAAGCCAGGGGAGCAAACGGG